GCUUCUCCGAUGGCGACGGCGACCACCAUCCAGGCCUCCUUGCUCACCUUGGAGAUGCAGAGGAGGAGGAGCCGCGCCUGCGGGAGCUCUCCACGGAGGAGGAGAUUUCGUGGCGGUGGUGCGGAGCGUACGGCAGUGGAGGGGCUGGAGAGACCGGGCCCACAUCGCUGAAGCAGUGGGCGUGGAGCAGGGGAGGAUGAGGGCGAUGGGCAUGAGGGAAGGAGCAGCGAGGUCGGAGUUCCAGGGGAUGCCGGCCGUCGUCACAUGUCCCCAGUAUCUGAGGAACAAAAAGAAGGGGAUGAAUCUUGAGGAAGAGCUUGGCUAAGAACAAGAUCUGAGGAACAAAAAUAAGGGGAUGAAUCUUGAGGAAGAGCUUGGAUAAGAACAAGGUGUUCGUAAUGGCAACGGUUGUAAUCAACGAUGAGAAAAAGGGACUGAGACUGGAUUUGUACUAGGCAUGUUCCUCAUCUCUCUCAGUCCUUGUUCCUAUCCCCACCCUGAUGUAACUGUUUCUUCACAACUGUUGGAUGUGUCUUAGGAGAUAAAUGCCAUGAAUUGUUUAGAUUCUUGUUGAGCUAACCACUAACAAAUUGUUUGUCCCCUUGUUAAAGCUAAUCAUAGUAAUAUCUGGUAAUCGUCCCAGUCAAAAAAAAAAUAUCUGGUAAUCGUCCGGCUGAUGUGUAUGGUGGCAACCAAAUUCAUGUUGAUGAACUGAAUCAAAUCUGUAGUAAAGUUAGUGUUAAAUCACACAUGUGUACAUUCAGGUUCAAUACACUCGAGCAGUUUUGUCACAUCUGUGGAUUUAGUAUGACAAGAAAAUUACUUGGAAACCCUCUUCUUCACGUCCAGCGGCCGACGCAGCUCUCGUGCCCUCCCAGCGCUGCCGGUCGGGAGCUUCUCCAUCCUACGCCGCUGCCUCGUAUCGGCUGUGCGAAGGAGGGCGGCGAGCAGCAGGAGCUCACCGCGUGCGUGGAGUUGUGUGGACUCCCUGCACCGCAGCUGCCUCUUUGCCAUUGCUGCGAUGCCU